rfam:Hordeum vulgare subsp. vulgare, WGS project CAJW01000000 data, contig: morex_contig_51515
CUCAUACUCCCUCCGUCCCAAAANNNUUGUCUUAGCUUUGUCUAGAAAUGAAUGUAUCUAAAUACUAAAACUUGACUAGACACAUUCGUAUCUAAACAAAUCUAAGACAAGAAUUUCGGGA